UGAUCAUUUGCAUAAAAACAUUGGUUUAGCCCGAUUAUGGUUACUGUCCCUCUUCACUUGUGCAAACUUAGGUGCUUCCAAGCCUUUUGCGGUACUUUAGCAUCCAGUGUGGCUCAGUGGUUUUGGAGCUAAAUCUAUGCAAUAACUCAUGUCAGUCAGUCAUUCACCAAGGUGUUUUCAGUGAUGAAGUGUCAUACUGUCGCCAGCAUGGCUAAAAAUAGAAUGACAUUCAUCACAUACAUUCGCUUCUCUAUCGUUGACCUAUUGGAUACUGACCAAUUUAGAGUUCACGUUUCACAGAAAACCACUCAACAUGGGGAACAGGCUCUUCCUGGAAGCAGUGGAGUCACUAAACCAUAUGAAACAGCAAUAAUAACAUCACUGCAGGAUGUAGACACCUCUUUAGCUAAUUCAAUUAGUCCAAACCAUAUUUCAGCAGCUACAGCAGAGUGAUGAAAAGGCACUGAAGCAUUUGAGUGAAUUACCCACAGAGCAUUAUACUGGAGUGAUUGAGCCUAUUCCUCUUAAAGCUUCUGCUGAGGCUGUGUCACUUCUCCUUCAUCAGCAGUUCGACUUCAUUUACAUAAACUGGAUCUAGAAUACACCUUUUUGGUCAUUUUAUGUAUUUAAAUCACCAGCUUUGGAUGUUUUUGGCAUUCUGAACAUAAAUAACUUUACAUGACCUCUUUCUCUUCAUGUGUCCCUCCUUCAUAAACACUACGUAUUCUACCAUCUGUCACCUUCAUCCCGGUUGAGGGAUUUGAAACUGCUGAGUGCGGUCUAAUCGUCAGUGCUCAUCUUAGCGAGGUAGGUGCCACAUAAUCAAUCUGGCAUUCACUGCCCUCACACCUGUGGCUGGCGGCCUUCUGAAUCCAGAGGAAGCACGAAUAUGGUGUAGAGAGAAAAACAGAUUUUAUGUGUUAAACUAAUCUUCUCUGAGGGGACUUCAAUUCGCAGCACCAAACCAGUGUAAAAUGACUGAUACAGACAGAGCGGAGGAUGGUCAGGACCUGGAGGCUCCAGUGGGAGACGUGGACGAGGUCUACCGAGCUUUGCUUCACUUCAGAGCUAUCGGCGAAGGCCGACGUGCACUUCCCUGGGAGCAAUGGACCUUCAGAGAGAAGACAAACUAUUAUAUCGACCGCAUCUUCCUUGGGCUACUUGUAGUUUUUCUGCUCAUGCUGUUGGGAGAGUUUGGCUUUAAAAUGUUGUAUGUGACAAACGUGACAAAGAUUAAAACUUCAGUGGUUUUUGUGUUUAACUGGCUCUUCCCACAGGAGAGACAGGGGGAGCUUGCUGAACUGUAGUUUGAUAAUCCAAUGUUCUGUGUGCAGGAUGAUGAAUCAAGUGUAUUUUCUAUGUUUUAGGCACAUAUAUAAUACAAAAGAAUCAAUUUAUAGCCACAUUGUAACUCAAGAUAAAUGAUGCAUAAAUAAUGAAUGGACUUUAUUUUUGAUGUUGAUACAAUGGAGAUAAAUAAUGCAGCUAACUGAGUUAUUCUUUGCAGCAUAAGUGUGCUUCAGCAGGUGCACAAUAUGUCAAUUUGGCACAACAAAAUGUUUAUUUUGAUAUAAACGGUAUUCAAGAGAAAAUUAUACAUGAAUUUGAGCUACUAUGCGAUGACCUCAAUUGCCUCAGUUGUCAAUGUGUUUUCAUUAUUUGGUACUUAAUUGCUACUCUGUUGUAGAGAGACAUAUAAUACAUUUUGUAGUAUUUACUGUUUAUAUGACAGUCCAUCAGUGACAUGUUGACCUCAUCCUGACACUUCUUGAUUAAAAUUGUUUGAAAGCA